GCCAUGCAUGUCUAAGUAUAAAUGUUAUACAGUGAAACUGCGAAUGGCUCAUUAAAACAGUUAUAGUUUAUUUGAUAAUCGAAUUCUACAUGGAUAACCGUGGUAAUUCUAGAGCUAAUACAUGCUGGUUAGCCUGACUUCUCGGAAGGGCUGUAUUUAUUAGAUAACAAACCAAUAUUCCUCGUGUCUAUUGUGAUGACUCAUAGUAACUGAUCGAAUCGCAUGGGCCUUGCCCGCGAUACAUCAUUCAAGUUUCUGCCCCAUCAGCUUUCGAUGGUAGUGUAUUGGACUACCAUGGCUUUAACGGGUAACGGAGGAUUAGGGUUCGAUUCCGGAGAGGGAGCCUGAGAAACGGCUACCACAUCUAAGGAAGGCAGCAGGCGCGUAAAUUACCCAAUCCUGACUCAGGGAGGUAGUGACAAGAAAUAACGGACCGAGGCUUCACGCUUCGGGAUUGCAAUGAGUAGAAUUUAAACCCCUUUACGAGGAUCAAUUGGAGGGCAAGUCUGGUGCCAGCAGCCGCGGUAAUUCCAGCUCCAAUAGCGUAUAUUAAAGUUGUUGCAGUUAAAAAGCUCGUAGUUGGAUUUCUGGGAGGGCGCCAAUGUCCGCUCGUUCGCGUGUGCAGCGGCGCCCUUCCAUCCUUCUGUUAACGCUUCUUGGUAUUCAGUUACUGGUAGCGGGCUCAGAUAUUUUACCUUGAGAAAAUUAGAGUGUUCCAGGCAGGCUUGCGCCGGAAUACAUUAGCAUGGAAUAAUAGAAUAGGACUUUAGUCUCCUUUGUUGGUUUGAGGGACUGAAGUA
rnacentral:rRNA from 1 species